ACACGUUUUGUAUAUCCUUAGAGAGUUUAAUUGCACGUCUAUUCCUCUUAUAAAUAAAAAUUCUAGUUCUAUCAUCAAACUAGGUAAAGAUUCGACAAAAAAAUGGGAUAGAACAAAUGUUGUAUAUAAGUUUGAUUGUAAAACCUGCCCUGCAACAUAUAUUGGCGAGACGAAACGAUCUUUACUAACUCGCAUAAACGAACAUAAAAAAGUGAAUGACAACUCUGUAGUGUACCGACAUUGUAUCAAUUUCAAUCAUGAUUUUGAUUGGGAAAAUGUGAAGGUUUUGGACAAUGAAAAAAAUUUUAUAAAACGACGAAUAUCGGAAAUGAUCCACAUAAAAACAAAUCAUUCCACUAUUAACAGAAAAGAAGAUAUUCUCACUCUAAAUAAAACGUUCUUUCCUCUUUUCAGAUGUAUAGACUCAUGUCCAUAAUGACAAAACAAUAACAUAUCUUGCUGACCACCUGUGUUUACAUAUCAGUUCAUUGACUCUUUUAGUUUUCAUAGUUUUGACUUUCUUAUCUCAGUUUCUAAUUUUAUUUCAGUUGACACUGAGUCGUUGUAGAGGAAUGUCUCCUUUUCUUCUAUAUAAUUAUAAAUUUAAUCUCUUGUGUGGAAUAUGUGUCGUGUUUUGUUUUUUAAUUUAUUUAUUUAUUUAUUUAAUUUUUAUUCUUCAUGACGAACUAAAAUAGUGUUUUUAUGUUUUAAUGAAUUAGGUAGGAUAUUAUUCGUUGUUAAUUACUUUAGUGAAAAAUAGUGUUUUUUAGAAAACCUUUAUAAAUAUUAAAGUGCCUUUUCUGUUUUUAAUAAAUUUAGCCUGAUGAGGUUGGCAAACCUUAGCCAACGAAACGUCGCAUUACUGACGAAACACAUUGGAUUUCUUAUUCAAUUAUUUACCUUCCCAUGAUCAUUUAUUUAUCAAAUAUCAAUUAAACCAUGGAAGGAUUUAAAUCUACUCAAUUAUCAAUUUCGAGUCUUGGAUCGGAGAUAGACUCAACCUUGUUGUCAACAUCCUUUUUCACAUAUAUUGGUGAAAAAUAUGGAAAACAUCUUAAAGAUCUUUUAAAAAAAUGGACAUCUACAAAUAAACAAUUGGCGACGGCACUUUCAAAAAAGGUUUUUCUGUUGAGUUGUAGAAAUAACAACGUCUUUCCUCAACAUAUCAUCAAUCUACAAAAACGUGUAAACAUUACAUCUUUUUACAGUAAGUCAUGCAAAAAAACCUUUGCAAAAUUAAAUGCAUCUUAUCUAAGAAACAUAUUAAACAUUGAAAUCAACGACAUUCAUCUACAUGUGGAAUUCUUAAAAAAGCUUCAAAAUUAUUGUGAACUUAGUAUUAAAAAUUCAAAUUUUAACAACGUGUCUCGUGACAGAUUUUUUGAUCUUUCACGAAAAAAGUUCAUUCGCAUUUUACACGCCAAUAAUACUAUUCAUAAAAAUAAAUUAACAACAUUAAUAAAAAAACAAUCAGUCGAAACCAAAAUUUCCAAACCAAAUUGGUUCAAAAAUUUAACCGAUAUUGUGAUCCCGUCAGAAGUGGCUGAAGUUGCAUCAUUGGGUCCCAAUUUCUGUUUUUCAAAAGACAUCUCUAAGGUAGAUAUUAUAAAUACCGUAAAAAACUUAGAGUUUUGUUUAUCAAAAGUCGACAUUGAUGAAAAUUCAAAAAAUACUUUAAGGGGAAAAUUUUCUGAUGUUUUGUCAAAUAAUUUGAAAAAUAAGAAUUCAUUAACUAAUCAAGAUAAAUCUUUUUCAAAAAAAUUAAAUAUUACAAAAACUUUUUUAAAAAAUAAUCCUGAACUUUUUUUCACUCCUGCCGAUAAAGGCAAUGUGACAGUACUUUUAAAGAAAACUGACUAUAAUCAAAAAAUGACAAAUAUGUUUACUGACACUACAACAUAUGAACUUAUAAAAAAGAAUCCAAUUAAAAAACUUAUCAAAAAUACAUCAUCAAUUCUUAAAUAUUUAAAUGAAAAUGAAUUCCUUGACAAAGUUUAUCACCCGAAUCAAUUGACUUUGACUGACACUGUUUUGGCUAAAGCUUAUGGACUCCCAAAAAUACAUAAAGAAAAUGUCCCACUUCGUCCGAUUAUUUCCUUAAUAAAUAGCCCUACUCAUUUUCUCGCAAAAAUAUUGUACAACUCCUUAAAAAAUUGUAUUACUUUACCUCGGUCACACAUUAACAAUAGUUUAGAACUUAAAAACAAAUUAGACAAUGUUACUAUGGACGACAGCUACACUUUUAUCUCACUUGACGUAAGUUCCAUGUUUACAAAUGUGUCUUGUGAGUUGGUCAUUCAGAGUUUGGAUCGACGUGUUAGUUGUAUAAACCAAAAAUGUAAAAUUCCAUUCUCUGACAUUAUUGAUUUUACUAAAUUUGUAUUUAAUAAUACAUAUUUUUCUUUUGAUGGAAAAUUCUACAGACAGACAUACGGAACUCCGAUGGGUUCUCCAAUUUCACCUUUCGUCUCGGAUAUUGUAAUGGAUGAUCUGGAAACUGAAUGUUUAAAAGAGUUAAAAGAAAAACAUAAUUGUGUUCCACUUUUCUAUUAUAGGUAUGUGGAUGACACAAUUUUAGCCAUAAAAAAAGAACAUGUUGAUCUGGUCAUUGACACUUUUAACUCUUACAAUCGAAAAUUACAAUUUACUGUUGAAAAAGAAAAAGAAAAUUCUAUUAACUUUCUCGAUCUAAAGCUUAUCAGAGACAACAACAAAAUUAUUACAAAUUGGUAUCAAAAACCGAUUUCAUCAGAUAGACUCAUUAACUAUUUUUCAGAUCAUCCACUUCAACAGAAGAAGAAUAUUGUAUAUAAUCUUGUAGAUAGGGCAUUUUCAUUGUCCAAUAAAAAAUUCCAAUUUGACAACUUGAAAAAAAUUAAAAAUAUUUUAAAAAACAAUAACUAUCCUUCAGACUUCAUUGAAAAACAUAUCAAGAUUCGUGUUAAUAAAAUAAAAUUUUCUGAUGUUAAUAAUAAUAAUAACAAAACUAAUAUAUAUAGUAAAAUUCCAAAAGUUUGUUUACCUUUUAAUGAAAAAUGUUUUUUCAAGUUGUCAAAUAUCCUUAGAGAGUUUAAUUGCACGUCUAUUCCUCUUAUAAAUAAAAAUUCUAGUUCUAUCAUCAAACUAGGUAAAGAUUCGACAAAAAAAUGGGAUAGAACAAAUGUUGUAUAUAAGUUUGAUUGUAAAACCUGCCCUGCAACAUAUAUUGGCGAGACGAAACGAUCUUUACUAACUCGCAUAAACGAACAUAAAAAAGUGAAUGACAACUCUGUAGUGUACCGACAUUGUAUCAAUUUCAAUCAUGAUUUUGAUUGGGAAAAUGUGAAGGUUUUGGACAAUGAAAAAAAUUUUAUAAAACGACGAAUAUCGGAAAUGAUCCACAUAAAAACAAAUCAUUCCACUAUUAACAGAAAAGAAGAUAUUCUCACUCUAAAUAAAACGUUCUUUCCUCUUUUCAGAUGUAUAGACUCAUGUCCAUAAUGACAAAACAAUAACAUAUCUUGCUGACCACCUGUGUUUACAUAUCAGUUCAUUGACUCUUUUAGUUUUCAUAGUUUUGACUUUCUUAUCUCAGUUUCUAAUUUUAUUUCAGUUGACACUGAGUCGUUGUAGAGGAAUGUCUCCUUUUCUUCUAUAUAAUUAUAAAUUUAAUCUCUUGUGUGGAAUAUGUGUCGUGUUUUGUUUUUUAAUUUAUUUAUUUAUUUAUUUAAUUUUUAUUCUUCAUGACGAACUAAAAUAGUGUUUUUAUGUUUUAAUGAAUUAGCCUGAUGAGGUUGGCAAACCUUAGCCAACGAAACGUCGCAUUACUGACGAAA